AUUGAACGCUGGCGGCAUGCCUUACACAUGCAAGUCGAACGGCAGCACGGGAGCAAUCCUGGUGGCGAGUGGCGAACGGGUGAGUAAUAUAUCGGAACGUGCCCAGUCGUGGGGAUAACGUAGAGAAAUUUACGCUAAUACCGCAUACGAUCUAAGGAUGAAAGCGGGGGGACCGUAAGGCCUCGCGCGAUUGGAGCGGCUGAUAUCAGAUUAGGUUGUUGGUGAGGUAAAAAGCUCACCAAGCCGACGAUCUGUAGCUGGUUUGAGAGAACGACCAGCCACACUGGGACUGAGACACGGCCCAGACUCCUACGGGAGGCAGCAGUGGGGAAUUUUGGACAAUGGGCGAAAGCCUGAUCCAGCAAUGCCGCGUGCAGGAAGAAGGCCU
rnacentral:rRNA from 1 species